GACAGAGGGUGCAAACGUUGUUCGGAAUUACUGGGCGUAAAGCGUGUGUAGGCGGCUAUGUAAGUCGGAUGUGAAAGCCCCGGGCUCAACUCGGGAAGUGCACUCGAUACUGCGUAGCUUGAGUACCGGAGAGGUUGGUGGAAUUCUCGGUGUAGAGGUGAAAUUCGUAGAUAUUAGGAAGAACACCAGUGGCGAAGGCGGCUCACUGGUCCGGUACUGACGCUGAGGUGCGAAAGCGUGGGGAGCAAACAGG
rnacentral:rRNA from 1 species